AGAGUUUGAUCCUGGCUCAGGACGAACGCUGGCGGCGUGCUUAACACAUGCAAGUCGAACGGAAAGGCCCUUCGGGGUACUCGAGUGGCGAACGGGUGAGUAACACGUGGGUGAUCUGCCCUGCACUUUGGGAUAAGCCUGGGAAACUGGGUCUAAUACCGAAUAUGACCAUGCGCCUCCUGGUGUGUGGUGGAAAGCUUUUGCGGUGUGGGAUGGGCCCGCGGCCUAUCAGCUUGUUGGUGGGGUAAUGGCCUACCAAGGCGACGACGGGCAGCCGGCCUGAGAGGGUGACCGGCCACACUGGGACUGAGAUACGGCCCAGACUCCUACGGGAGGCAGCAGUGGGGAAUAUUGCACAAUGGGCGCAAGCCUGAUGCAGCGACGCCGCGUGAGGGAUGACGGCCUUCGGGUUGUAAACCUCUUUCAGCACAGACGAAGCGCAAGUGACGGUAUGUGCAGAAGAAGGACCGGCCAACUACGUGCCAGCAGCCGCGGUAAUACGUAGGGUCCGAGCGUUGUCCGGAAUUACUGGGCGUAAAGAGCUCGUAGGUGGUUUGUCGCGUUGUUCGUGAAAACUCACAGCUUAACUGUGGGCGUGCGGGCGAUACGGGCAGACUUGAGUACUGCAGGGGAGACUGGAAUUCCUGGUGUAGCGGUGGAAUGCGCAGAUAUCAGGAGGAACACCGGUGGCGAAGGCGGGUCUCUGGGCAGUAACUGACGCUGAGGAGCGAAAGCGUGGGGAGCGAACAGGAUUAGAUACCCUGGUAGUCC
rnacentral:rRNA from 1 species